rnacentral:rRNA from 1 species
GAAACCGGAGCUAAUACCGGAUAAUAUAUUGAACCGCAUGGUUCAAUAGUGAAAGACGGUUUUACUGUCACUUAUAGAUGGAUCCGCGCCGCAUUAGCUAGUUGGUAAGGUAACGGCUUACCAAGGCAACGAUGCGUAGCCGACCUGAGAGGGUGAUCGGCCACACUGGAACUGAGACACGGUCCAG